CGUGGCCUGAUGUCUCUGACAUCUGUUUUGGGUUCUCAGCCUCAGCUGGCCCCACUGCCCUUUCUCCUGCGAUGACUCACAGGCCCCAUUCAGGCCACCGAGUGGCAGGUAUAGAGUGUCUCACCUCGGAGUACUGGGGAUGAGGGGUGAGCGUCCGGGCAGCAGGCGAGCCCCCAAGGCUGGCCCGCUGACACCGCUGGCGGCAAAAAUUUCUACGGCAGUUUCUCUUGAACCAGGCAGAAAACAACCCCUGAGGCUGCUCGGUGCUCCCUAGUCUCCUGGUUUGCAUUGCACAUCCAUUUUGAGCCUGCUGCUACUGAUGAGAAAAUGACCUCAAACAACUGCCCACUAAAGGUCCCAUGUUGUGACGAUGCCGGGGGCUUUCUGCAUAGCGCUCCGCUUCUCAGACUGAGCAGCUUCUGGAGUUUUGUACAAUGCCUGGGCCUGAGGAAACCUGCCAGGAUAUUCCUGGUAGGAUGAAUGAUCACCCCCCCGUAACAGACAGAGACACCCAGAGCAGAGACAGAGUUCACACUGUGGGAUCUGACUCAAUGUUUGAAUUCUUAGGAGCUCACCACUUCAUUGGAUUUCUCAUGACUGAAAAAAAGAGACCACUAGAAUCUGGAUGAGAUGAGAAUUUAGGUGCUGUUUUAGAUUCCCCUAGAUUAGGUGGAUACCCAAAAGAGUGUGUGGAAAAACUGCAGGGAGGGCCGGGCGCGGUGGCUCAUCCCUGUAAUCCCAGCACUUCAGGAGGACGAGGCAGGCGGAUCAUCUGAGGUCAGGAGUUCGAGACCAGCCUGACCAACAUGGAGAAACCCUAUCUCUACUAAAAAUACAAAAGUACCCGGGCAUGGUGGCACAUGCCUGUAAUCCCAGCUACUCUGGAAGGCUGAGGCAGGAGAAUCGCUUGAACCCAGGAGGUGGAGGUUGCAGUGAGCCAAGAUCGCACCACUGCACUCCAGCCUGGGCAACAAGAGUGAAACUUGGUCUCAAAAAAAAAAAAAAAAAAAAAAACCUGCAGGGAGUCUGAGUCCUCUGAAAUGGGAUGAAAAAUUUAUAUGUAAAAAUUGUGUAUAUUUCCUCCAGCCCCAGGAAGAGAGCCCUGUGUAUUCUGUUGGACAGAUCUGCUGAUUUUCAAGUUUCCAAGACUCCUCCAGACUUAAGAAGUACUGUUUUAUAUUAAAUAUUUUGCAAAGAUGGUUCCAGCUUCCUACCCUUCCAGUUAAAAUAAACAAAAACGAGGGUCUUGAGUGUCUAUGAUUUUCAUAAGAUCUAUGGCGUUUCUUCUGCAGAUGAUCAACAGUUGCCUGCCUUGGACUUUGGAGUUCCCAAGAACUAGAAAAUCCAGGUCAGGAACUGUAUCUUUGCUCAGCCACCUGCAAACAGACUUGAGAACAAUGUAAACCACCCUCUGCAGGAUAUUGAUUCUGAUGGAGUAAAUGUUGAUUAAGCAGAAUGGUGUUUUUUUUUUUAACUGGAGGAAUUCCAGAUCUUUCCUUAGGCCUGUCUCUCCAGGGAAAUGAGCUCUAGCCUUAAAAAUCUACAGAAAACCUGAGUAAGAAUGAAGAUUUAUGAUGGGAGACGCUGGGCGGAAGACGGCUGGCUAUCUGGUGGGCUAUCUAGAAGCUCAUCUUUGUGUUAUUAGAGAAACACUCCCGCUCUUGACAGGAUAUGGUCUGCUUAUCACAUAAUCUUCUCAAGUUUCAUUCCCAUUCUGCUUACAAAUGCCCCAAAUAUAAAGAGAUGCAUUUCAUCAAGACAGCCUUUUAAGAGGCAGUUGAUCCCAGCUGUUGCCGUCUAUCUUAAACACCUACCUUUUCACCCUAGUGUGGAGUUUACAUGUCGAUAAGCGAUGUAAAAAAGGGAACUUGAGAAAU
rnacentral:lncRNA from 1 species